rnacentral:piRNA from 1 species
UGUGAUAUGUGGAAUAAACUACAGAGGAG